UGCAAGCAAACUUUAAUAAAAAUCCAAUAUAGUGUCAGCCAUGUGCAUAAAGUUAUGGGACCUUCAAAUCCCUCCUUUCUACAUACUCUAUGCUUUACAAUUGUACAUUUACUAUUGCAAUUUAAAGCCUCCAAUUCCAGCUCUAAAUUUCUGCAAAUAUGGCAGAUGUUUUGGUUCAGUUCCAGCUAAAUAUCAUUAAGUACUGGUUGCUUUUUUUAUUGAUGAUCUACAUGAGUCUGCAGAGGGAGCAGGACCACCAUUUUGUAGCUGAAGCUUUCUUUUUUCCUCUUUCUAUAUAAUUGUAGUGUUUCCUUGAAAAGGGGCUCAAAGAAUUCUGCUAAGGGAUUAACUGAGAUGGGAAUCACAGGGGAACCAAUUAGAAAAGCGUUCUCGAAAAGCCUCUCUCUGCAAAUGCGUGACAGCCAUGCUAGGAGUUAUGCUGUGGAAAAGAAAAGAUGGAGUUCAGUAGUUGCAGAUGAUGAUUUAUCGAGCUUCACACCUGCAAUUGAUGAAGGUGAAUUUACUUCAGUUUAUGCAGAGGCGGAGACGGCUUCUAUUAGAAGCUCUGAGGCCACUGUUAAUCAACCAUUGGCAGGAGAUUUCAAGGACCAAGCAGAUGCUGAAAGCAAUGAGGUGAAGAAUUGAAGUCCAAAGGAAAAGCAAAACUCAACCUACAAAAUUUUUCAGCAAGAAGAUGCUGCAAUGAUCAUUCAGUCGGCAUUUAGAAGAUUUCUGGUCAAUACACUCACCAUAUAUGCAUCAACUUUAUGUGGAGAUUUACACGUAAAUAAUCUUUAUAGUAUCGUAAUAUAUGCAAAUGUUUGAUGAUACUUGUACAAGAAAAUGAAUGUGCGCAUGUACUUGGAAAGACAAUUAAACAAGAACUUAGAGAAUGUUGAUCUCCAUGGAUAAAUGUCGUUUCUUUAAGUGAAGUAUUUUCUGGAUACUCCAUUUGAGUUGUUUUGAGUGCUUAAAAUUUCAGGCCUGACGAGCUAAUGAAUGAAUGAAGUUGCAAUAUUGUAAAGCAGAUCCUGUAGGAAGUCCAAGUAGAGAGUCUAUGGGCACAUCAAUUGAAGUUCAAACUGGAAAUUCCGACAUUUUCUCUUUCCAAGAAGAAAGCAUGUCUGUGCACCAUCCAGCAUGACAUAGAAGUAGAGCCCAAUUGCUCAAGCUACAGGAAGACUGGGAUGAUAGCACAGUAAGUAGUGUUAUAUCAAAAAUGAGAAUUCAAAACAAGCUAGAAGUAGCAACAGGGCACGAGAGAGCUCCAGUUAAGAAUCUGCUCGAAGAAAAAACAAAUCAAAUCCAACAGUAACGAAACCAGUGUGCGCUGGAGCUAGCUAGAACGAUGGAUUGCAACUCGUCUGCCAGAAAACGCCAUGAUGGAAGACCAAAGGUACAAGCAAAUUGAGGCAGUUAGUGGUCACCAAACAAAUGGGAUGAGGAAGAGACUGCUUGAUAUAGCAAUGGAAGAGAAGGAGAGCUGUGGAUCUAAUGAUGUCUCUCUACGCAUUGAAGUCGGAUCUAUAGCUAUGUCCAAGGAUAUCCCUAGGCCUACCAAGAAUAGGAAUAAAACAACAGGAAAUAUCUCCAAACGAGAUGCAGCAUCUUGCUACCUGUGUCCAAGAGAACCAAAGGUACACCUUUCAGCUAAAGCAAAAAUUGUCCAAAGGAACAAGUGAAAUUAGAUUUUUACCAGUUUUAAACCAAAAAUGGAAGAAGAAUGACUUUAUAGUCCCAUUACAUGAGCCAGCACGUUGAUAAUAACCAGCAAUAACUGAGAUAAUACUGCAUUCAAAUGCUAAAAUAAGAACCUCCAUCUUUCUUAAAUAUUUUCUUUUUCUUUCGUCCAUUCACUCGUUUCUCAUGAUGUGGUCAAUAUUGUUACUGGAUAGCAAGAAAGUACGUCAACUAGAGGAUGGAAAAGAUAAGAUGAAAAUGCUGAAGCAGGCACAAAAUAAAAGAGAGAUGAAAAACACGGAUUCUACAUCUCAAGUAUCACCAGAGAUUGAAUAAUUUUCGCAAUUUAGGACUCCAAAUCGGGCCUACUGAGUUUGUUUUAAAUAAAUUGUGUAAAUGUGUAAUGUCCAGUGGCAAGUUUGAGAUCCCCUUGUAUAUUUCAUUUUAUGACUUAGAACAUCUAUGUUAUAGUUAGCAGAAAUCAUCGUGCAUAAAUUAUAAUAAAAUAAAUCAGGCUUUAUUUUUUCA